UACGGAGGGUGCAAGCGUUAUCCGGAUUCACUGGGUUUAAAGGGUGCGUAGGUGGGCUUGUAAGUCAGUGGUGAAAUCUCCGGGCUUAACUCGGAAACUGCCAUUGAUACUAUAGGUCUUGAAUUAUCUGGAGGUCAGCGGAAUAUGUCAUGUAGCGGUGAAAAUGCUUAGAUAUGACAUAGAACACCAAUUGCGAAGGCAGCUGGCUACAGGUUUUAUUGACACUGAGGCACGAAAAGCGUGGGGGAUCAAACAGG
rnacentral:rRNA from 1 species